rnacentral:piRNA from 1 species
UCCCUUUGCCUUCAGCAAGCACAUCAGCGGC